CUACGGGAGGCUGCAGUUAGGAAUCUUGCGCAAUGGACGAAAGUCUGACGCAGCGACACCGCGUGUGGGAUGACGGCCCUCGGGUUGUAAACCACUUUUAUUUUGUCUUCAGGACAUUUUGAAUAAGCAACUACUAACUACGUGCCAGCAGUCGCGGUAAUACGUAGGUUGCAAGCGUUACCCGGUUUUACUGGGUGUAAAGAGUCUGCAGGCGGUUUUUUAAGUCCCACUUCAAAUCUUCCGGCUUAACCGGAAAAAGGGAUGGGAUACCGAAAGACUAGAGUUGUAUAGAGGUUACUGGAAUUUAUAGUGUAGGGGUAAAAUCCGUGGAUACUACAAAGAACACCAAGGGCGAAGGCUGGUGACUAGGUACAAACUGACGCUCAGAGACGAAAGCUAGGGUAGCAAAUCGGAUUAGAUACCCCCGUAGUC
rnacentral:rRNA from 1 species